CAUUGGCCAUACGGGCUUGUCAAAGCCUGAUCUCGCCAGAUCUCAGAAGCUAAGCAAAGCUGGGCCUGGUUAGUUCCUGGAUGGGACACCACUGGGAAUUCCAGGUGCCACAGUGG
rnacentral:rRNA from 1 species